UUAGGGUUCGAUUCCGGAGAGGGAGCCUGAGAAACGGCUACCACAUCCAAGGAAGGCAGCAGGCGCGCAAAUUACCCAAUCCCGACACGGGGAGGUAGUGACAAUAAAUAACAAUACGGGGUUCUUUAGGAUCUCGUAAUUGGAAUGAGUACAAUUUAAAUCUCUUGACGAGGAACAAUUGGAGGGCAAGUCUGGUGCCAGCAGCCGCGGUAAUUCCAGCUCCAAUAGCGUAUAUUAAGGUUGUUGCAGUUAAAAAGCUCGUAGUUGAAUUUCGGGGUUAGUAGGUUGGUCAUGCCUCCGGUAUGUACUGAUCUCACUGAUUCCUCCUUCCUUAUGAACCGUAAUGCCAUUAAUUUGGUGUUGCGGGGAAUUUGGACUGUUACUUUGAAAAAAUUAGAGUGUUUAAAGCAAGCUAACGCUUGAAUACAUUAGCAUGGAAUAAUGAAAUAGGACGUUCGAUCCUAUUUUGUUGGUUUCUAGGAUUAACGUAAUGAUUAAUAGGGAUAGUUGGGGGCAUUAGUAUUCAAUUGUCAGAGGUGAAAUUCUUGGAUUUAUUGAAGACUAACUACUGCGAAAGCAUUUGCCAAGGAUGUUUUCAUUAAUCAAGAACGAAAGUUAGGGGAUCGAAGACGGUCAGAUACCGUCGUAGUCUUAACCAUAAACUAUGCCGACUAGGGAUCGGAUGAUGUUAAU
rnacentral:rRNA from 1 species